UGCAAGUCGACGGUUAAGGGUCCUUCGGGGCUUUGAGAGUGGCGAACGGGUGAGUAACACGUAACUGAUCUGCCCUAUAGAUCGGGAUAACAAUUGGAAACAGUUGCUAAUACCGGAUGAAAUCGCGGUAGUUAGAGAGCCGUGAUGAAAGGCUUAGGCGCUACGGGAUGAGGUUGCGGUCCAUUAGCUAGUUGGUGAGGUAAAGGCUCACCAAGGCGAUGACGGGUAGGGGACCUGAGAGGGUGGCCCCCCACACUGGGACUGAGACACGGCCCAGACUCCUACGGGAGGCAGCAGUGAGGGAUAUUGCACAAUGGACGGAAGUCUGAUGCAGCGACGCCGCGUGGAUGAAGAAGGUUUUCGGAUCGUAAAGUCCUUUUCUAUGUGACGAGAUAGGACGGUAGCAUAGGAAUAAGUGUCGGCUAACUACGUGCCAGCAGCCGCGGUAAAACGUAGGACGCGAACGUUAUCCGGAGUUACUGGGCGUAAAGCGCGCGCAGGCGGUUGUAUAAGUCUUAUAUGAAAGUUACCGGCUAAACUGGUAGAGUGUGUGAGAAACUGUACAACUAGAGAGAAAUAGAGGGAAGUAGAAUUCCGGGGUGUAGUGGUGAAAUGCGUAGAUAUCCGGAGGAAUACCGGUGGCGAAGGCGGCUUCCUGGAUUUCCACUGACGCUGAGGCGCGAAAGCGUGGGUAGCGAACGGGAUUAGAAACCCCGGUAGUCCACGCUGUAAACGAUGUACAUUAGGCGUUCGGUUGUCGUUAGGCAAUUGAGUGUCGUAGCAAACGCGAUAAAUGUCCGCCUGGGGAGUACGGUCGCAAGGCUAAAACUCAAAGGAAUUGACGGGG
rnacentral:rRNA from 1 species